rnacentral:rRNA from 1 species
UAGCGGAGGAAAAGAAACCAACAGGGAUUGCCUCAGUAACGGCGAGUGAAGCGGCAAAAGCUCAAAUUUGAAAUCUAGCACCUUCGGUGUUCGAGUUGUAAUUUGAAGAUGGUAACCUUGGGUUUGGCUCUUGUCUAUGUUCCUUGGAACAGGACGUCAUAGAGGGUGAGAAUCCCGUCUGAUGAGAUGCCCAUUCCUAUGUAAGGUGCUAUCGAAGAGUCGAGUUGUUUGGGAAUGCAGCUCUAAGUGGGUGGUAAAUUCCAUCUAAAGCUAAAUAUUGGCGAGAGACCGAUAGCGAACAAGUACAGUGAUGGAAAGAUGAAAAGAACUUUGAAAAGAGAGUGAAAAAGUACGUGAAAUUGUUGAAAGGGAAGGGCAUUAGAUCAGACUUGGUGUUUUACGAUUAUCUUCUCUUCUUGAGUUGUGCACUCGUAUUUCACUGGGCCAGCAUCGAUUCGGAUGGCAAGAUAAUGGCAGUUGAAUGUGGCUUCACUUCGGUGGAGUGUUAUAGCUUCUGCUGAUAUUGCCUGUCUGGAUCGAGGGCUGCGUCUUUUGACUAGGAUGCUGGCGUAAUGAUCUAAUGCCGCCCGUCUUGA